AUUGAACGCUGGCGGCAGGCUUAACACAUGCAAGUCGAACGAGUGGCGGACGGGUGAGUAAUGCUUGGGAAUCUGGCUUAUGGAGGGGGAUAACGCCGGGAAACUGUCGCUAAUACCGCGUACCAUAGGAUGAGCCCAAGUGGGAUUAGGUAGUUGGUGGGGUAAAGGCCUACCAAGCCGACGAUCUCUAGCUGGUCUGAGAGGAUGGCCAGCCAAACCGGGGAUGAGACACGGCCCGGACUCCUAAGGGAGGCAGCAGUGGGGAAUAUUGCGCAAUGGGGGCAAACCUGACGGAACCAUGCCGCGUGAGUGAUGACGGCCUUCGGGUUGUAAAGCUCUGUUAAUCGGGAGACGGUACCGGAAGAGAAAGCCACGGCUAACUACGUGUCAGCCGCCGCGGUAAUAC
rnacentral:rRNA from 1 species